GAGGGUAUAGCUCAAGCAGUAGAGUGCGUGUUUAGCAAGCACAAGGUCCUGGGUUCAAUCCCUGGUACCUUCU
rfam:Camelus ferus unplaced genomic scaffold scaffold1435, whole genome shotgun sequence.